rfam:Clostridium asparagiforme DSM 15981 genomic scaffold Scfld6, whole genome shotgun sequence.
UGAAAGAUUGGGCAAACCCGUCGAAAGGCGGCGACGCAAAGCUACAGGGGCUUCACCGGAUGGUAAGCCAGCCAGCUGCUCUC